UGUACCUACGGGACGCAGCAGUGGGGAAUAUUGCACAAUGGGGGAAACCCUGAUGCAGCGACGCCGCGUGAGCGAAGAAGUAUUUCGGUAUGUAAAGCUCUAUCAGCAGAGAAGAAAAUGACGGUACCUGACUAAGAAGCCCCGGCUAAAUACGUGCCAGCAGCCGCGGUAAUACGUAUGGGGCAAGCGUUAUCCGGAUUUACUGGGUGUAAAGGGAGUGCAGGCGGCUUGGCAAGUCUGAUGUGAAAGGCUGGGGCUCAACCCCAGGACUGCAUUGGAAACUGCCAGGCUGGAGUGCCGGAGAG
rnacentral:rRNA from 1 species